CUGGGAAGUGAGUCUGGUUUCAGAGUAUAAUAUAAUAUUGUUUUCGUUUACGUUGAAGAAUCUUUUGUGUAAUUCAAAAUGCUCUGAUUAUUUAAAUAUAAUUUUUUAUUUUUUGUAUUUUUUAAUUUAUAUUUAGGUUAUUUUAGUUUUAUAUCGUUUAGUAGUUUUGAAAUGCUUGGUUUAAUUUUAGUUUACUUUUAAUGUAAGUGGUUUAUUUAAAUAUAAUUUAAGAAUUUUUUUAUUAUUUUACCUUUUGUAUCAGGGUUAAUUAAAUAUUUUAUUUUUAUGGGUUUUUCUCGAAUUGUGAUGAUUUAUAUUGAAAUGAUUUUUAUUGUUUCAUAAUUAUUUAAAAUUUUAAUAUGGAAGUGAUAUUCUAUACGUUUCACAAGAUAUCUGGUUUCUUAAGAUAAAAUUUAAUUUUUAGGAAUUUUUUAAAUUGAUUAUUGAUUAUUAAUUUGUUAAUUUUUUAUUAGGGUCUAAGGGUUAAGCUUUAGAUUUUAUUAUAAUUUGUGGUAAUUUUAUUUUUAUGUAGGCUUGGAAUUAGCCAUUAUUUUAAGUGUGUAUUAUUAUAUUAUGUGUUGUAAUUAUUUUUUAUUAAGUUUAAUUGUAGUAUUAGGAUGUGUACUGGGAUUUUUAAUGUUUAGCAAUAAUGAUUGAAUUAGUAUAUUUACUUUUGUUUGAUUAAUAGUAUGAGCGAUAUUAUGAAAAGGAACUAGGCAAAAAUUAUAUUUCCGCUUGUUUAUCAAAAACAUCUCUUGUAGUUAAUAAUUGUAAGUAGGGCCUGCACACUGAGGAUUUAAAGAGCCGCAGUAUUUUGACUGUGCAAAGGUAGCAUAAUCAUUAGUAUAUUAAUUGUGUACUGGGAUGAAAGGUUUGACGAGAAAUAUUCUGUCUCUUUAUAAAGUUUAGAAUUUUACUUUUUAGUAAAAAGGCUGGGAUUGUUUUUUUGGACGAUAAGACCCUGUAGAGUUUGAUUUAUUAUUUAUUAUUAAUUUGGGUUAGUUUUAUAUUUUUAUAAAAUAAAUAAGUUUAGUUGGGGCGAUUUGAAUAAUGGUUAAACUAUUCAUUUGAUUUUCAUUAAUUUAUGUUAUUUAUGAUCUUUUAUUAUUGAUUUACAGAUAAAAUUACCUCAGGGAUAACAGCGCAAUUAUCUUUGAGAGUUCUUAUUGACGGGAUGGAUUGUGACCUCGAUGUUGGAUUAAGAUUGUUAUUCAGGUGAAGAUGCUUGA
rnacentral:rRNA from 1 species